AAGGACCUUCUUCAAUUUCUCUACCACCCUCACUUCUACCAUCAUCUACUUUCCAACCUGUUUUCCUCCACUUUAUCUCCACAUAUCACACGACCCUAACACUCCCCACCAUAAACAUACACCUUCCUUCUUCAUCCAUGCUCCGAGGGAAACAUCAUCAUCUUCACCCUCACACAUAUGAAUAAAACAAGAAGGAACCAUCCCUUCCAUCGUUAGUUCACCACUGUUGCUCCGCCGUCACUACCAACAACCGGCGUCACGACCUCACCACCACCUUCAUUUUCGCAUUAUUCCUCGUCCUCUAUUCCACACUCCCUCCGUUAAGCCACAACUCCACUUCAAAAAUAGAACCAAAACACUCAUCAUUCCCUUGUAACUUCCGACCACCCUCACCCAAACUCCCUCACCAUUUGACACCCCCUUUCAUUUUGAUCCUCUUCAGCCUGCAACUCGAAAACUACAAACACUCAGAAACUAACCAUAAGCUCUCACAAACAACACCACUACCACUACAACAUCCCAUAGCAGUCGUUCAUUCAUUAACAAGAGGGUGAGAAAUGGAAGCAAAGGAACAUGAUGUUUCACUAGGAACUAACAAAUUCUAGAUAGACAACCCAUGACGACUGAAGGAC
rnacentral:lncRNA from 1 species